GGCAAGACUGUCAAGACGGCGGUGGUGGCCAGAUUUUAAUGCUGUCUUGCUGUCCUGUCUUUAUACUGUCAGUGUCCGAGACGCAUCAGGUAACGAACAACGUAACAUUAUUAGUUUGUUUGUAUUUAAAAGUCACUUACUCUGCACGCUGUCGCAUCAGAAGGUUCUGAACAAGAGAACUCUUCAUCAACGUUAAUUGUAUGGGUGCAAUUUUCCACUUUGGAGCUUUUUGUAUAUGCAUUUUUAAAAUUUUGAUUAACAUGAGACACCCCACUUUCGAGGUAUUACAGGGGCACAAACGCAGUCGAGAAUUAUUCACAGAUUUACUGCAAGACGACGGUUUCACGCCAUUCACGUCACGGUCCGCGUGUUCGUUACGAUCACACACACUUUCAGUCGUUUUAAACUGUGUAAAGCGCCUACAUGGGAUGAUGCGGUGUCAGUGUGCCGGACAUAUUAAUAGCACUCAGAAUAUAAAAUUCACAGUCUUCAGCACGUGACAGCUGUGGACUGCAGGGCAAAGUGACAUCUGCGAGGAAUGCAUGUGGAGAUUUGCUGAAUUCCUGGACGGCGGAACGAACCGUGCCACGAGCGAAGGCGUGGACGCGUCGUGGUCAAUGUGUGCAGGUAACUUCAGGCCUUGCAUGUGCUUCAUCUCUGCAGCCAGCCAGCCAGCCUCCUCUCCGGCACGGUGCCACUGAACAGGAUACACUCUGUGUGUCACACUCCCUUUUCCAGUCGUCUCGACGUCUCAUGGCCCUGCAUUAGGAAUCAGUGAACCAGCCCUCUUCUCCUUCUUCUUCUUCUCCUUCUCCACCCCCCACCUCCCUCUCCCUCUCUCUCUCUCCCAGCCAGGAUCACGUCAGUUUGGGCGCACCUUCCGCUUUGACAGUUGCGUAAUAAGACCGGCCUCUAUCGCUUUAACCCUGCAGUGUGUGUAGUAAUACUCUAAUCUACAGUCAAAUGGACAAUAACUAACCUCAAGA